rnacentral:rRNA from 1 species
AUACGGAGGAUCCGAGCGUUAUCCGGAUUUAUUGGGUUUAGAGGGUGCGCAGGCGGCCAUUUAAGUCAGCGGUUAAAUCGUGGGGCUCAACCCCAUUCUGCCGUUGAUACUGGGUGGCUUGAUUGCGGUCGAGGUUGGCGGAAUUCGUUGUGUAGCGGUGAAAUGCAUAGAUAUGACGAAGAACACCGAUUGCGGAGGCAGCUCGCCAGGCCGGCAGUGGCGCUCGGGCACAAAAGCGUGGGGAGCGAACAGGAUUAGAUACCCUGGUAGUCCACGCCGUAAACGAUGGGCGCUCGUCGUCGGCGACAGACAGUCGGCGGCCAAGCGAAAGCGAUAAGCGCCCCACCUGGGGAGUACGGUCGCAAGGCUGAAACUCAAAGGAAUUGGCGGGG